AUACGUAGGGCGCAAGCGUUGUCCGGAAUUAUUGGGCGUAAAGAGCUCGUAGGCGGUUUGUCACGCCUGCUGUGAAAACCCGAGGCUCAACCUCGGGCCUGCAGUGGGUACGGGCAGACUAGAGUGCGGUAGGGGAGACUGGAACUCCUGGUGUAGCGGUGGAAUGCGCAGAUAUCAGGAAGAACACCAAUGGCGAAGGCAGGUCUCUGGGCCGUAACUGACGCUGAGGAGCGAAAGCAUGGGGAGCGAACAGGAUUAGAUACCCUGGUAGUCCAUGCCGUAAACGUUGGACGCUAGAUGUGGGGGCCUUUCCACGGUUUCCGCGUCGUAGCUAACGCAUUAAGCGUCCCGCCUGGGGAGUACGGCCGCAAGGCUAAA
rnacentral:rRNA from 1 species